rnacentral:rRNA from 1 species
GAUGAACGCUAGCUACAGGCUUAACACAUGCAAGUCGAGGGGCAUCACAGUGUAGCAAUACACGGGUGGCGACCGGCGCACGGGUGCGUAACACGUAUCCAAUCUGCCCGUUACUCGGGGAUAGCCUUCUGAAAGGAAGAUUAAUACCCGAUGGCAUGUAUUUCCGGCAUCGGAGAUACAUUAAAGAUUUAUCGGUAACGGAUGAGGAUGCGUACGAUUAGCUGGUUGGCGGGGUAACGGCCCACCAAGGCUACGAUCGUUAGGGGUUCUGAGAGGAAGGUCCCCCANACUGGAACUGAGACACGGUCCAGACUCCUACGGGAGGCAGCAGUGAGGAAUAUUGGUCAAUGGGCGAGAGCCUGAACCAGCCAAGUCGCGUGAAGGAUGAAGGAUCUAUGGCUUGUAAACUUCUUUUAUACGGGAAUAAAGUGUGGUACGUGUACCAUUUUGUAUGUACCGUAUGAAUAAGCAUCGGCUAACUCCGUGCCAGCAGCCGCGG